rnacentral:rRNA from 1 species
AAUCCAUAGGUUAAUGAGGCGAACCGGGGGAACUGAAACAUCUAAGUACCCCGAGGAAAAGAAAUCAACCGAGAUUCCCCCAGUAGCGGCGAGCGAACGGGGAGGAGCCCAGAGCCUGAAUCAGCAUGUGUGUUAGUGGAAGCGUCUGGAAAGGCGCGCGAUACAGGGUGACAGCCCCGUACACAAAAGCGCAUGUGCUGUGAGCUCGAUGAGUAGGGCGGGACACGUGGUAUCCUGUCUGAAUAUGGGGGGACCAUCCUCCAAGGCUAAAUACUCCUGACUGACCGAUAGUGAACCAGUACCGUGAGGGAAAGGCGAAAAGAACCCCGGCGAGGGGAGUGAAAAAGAACCUGAAACCGUGUACGUACAAGCAGUGGGAGCACAGGUUUACCUGUGUGACUGCGUACCUUUUGUAUAAUGGGUCAGCGACUUAUAUUCUGUAGCAAGGUUAACCGAAUAGGGGAGCCGGAGGGAAACCGAGUCUUAAUUGGGCGUUAAGUUGCAGGGUAUAGACCCGAAACCCGGUGAUCUAGCCAUGGGCAGGUUGAAGGUUGGGUAACACUAACUGGAGGACCGAACCGACUAAUGUUGAAAAAUUAGCGGAUGACCUGUGGCUGGGGGUGAAAGGCCAAUCAAACCGGGAGAUAGCUGGUUCUCCCCGAAAGCUAUUUAGGUAGCGCCUCGUGAAUUCAUCUCCGGGGGUAGAGCACUGUUUCGGCUAGGGGGCCAUCCCGGCUUACCAACCCGAUGCAAACUGCGAAUACCGGAGAAUGUUAUCACGGGAGACACACGGCGGGUGCUAACGUCCGUCGUGAAGAGGGAAACAACCCAGACCGCCAGCUAAGGUCCCAAAGUCAUGGUUAAGUGGGAAACGAUGUGGGAAGGCCCAGACAGCCAGGAUGUUGGCUUAGAAGCAGCCAUCAUUUAAAGAAAGCGUAAUAGCUCACUGGUCGAGUCGGCCUGCGCGGAAGAUGUAACGGGGCUAAACCAUGCACCGAAGCUGCGGCAGCGACACUCAGGUGUUGUUGGGUAGGGGAGCGUUCUGUAAGCCUGUGAAGGUGGCCUGUGAGGGUUGCUGGAGGUAUCAGAAGUGCGAAUGCUGACAUAAGUAACGAUAAAGCGGGUGAAAAGCCCGCUCGCCGGAAGACCAAGGGUUCCUGUCCAACGUUAAUCGGGGCAGGGUGAGUCGACCCCUAAGGCGAGGCCGAAAGGCGUAGUCGAUGGGAAACGGGUUAAUAUUCCCGUACUUGGUGUUACUGCGAAGGGGGGACGGAGAAGGCUAUGUUGGCCGGGCGACGGUUGUCCCGGUUUAAGCGUGUAGGUGUGUGUUCCAGGUAAAUCCGGUUCACUUUAACACUGAGGCGUGACGACGAGGCACUACGGUGCUGAAGCAACAAAUGCCCUGCUUCCAGGAAAAGCCUCUAAGCAUCAGGUAACAUCAAAUCGUACCCCAAACCGACACAGGUGGUCAGGUAGAGAAUACCAAGGCGCUUGAGAGAACUCGGGUGAAGGAACUAGGCAAAAUGGUGCCGUAACUUCGGGAGAAGGCACGCUGACACGUAGGUGAAGUGAUUUACUCAUGGAGCUGAAGUCAGUCGAAGAUACCAGCUGGCUGCAACUGUUUAUUAAAAACACAGCACUGUGCAAACACGAAAGUGGACGUAUACGGUGUGACGCCUGCCCGGUGCCGGAAGGUUAAUUGAUGGGGUCAGCGCAAGCGAAGCUCCUGAUCGAAGCCCCGGUAAACGGCGGCCGUAACUAUAACGGUCCUAAGGUAGCGAAAUUCCUUGUCGGGUAAGUUCCGACCUGCACGAAUGGCGUAAUGAUGGCCAGGCUGUCUCCACCCGAGACUCAGUGAAAUUGAACUCGCUGUGAAGAUGCAGUGUACCCGCGGCAAGACGGAAAGACCCCGUGAACCUUUACUAUAGCUUGACACUGAACAUUGAGCCUUGAUGUGUAGGAUAGGUGGGAGGCUUUGAAGUGUGGACGCCAGUCUGCAUGGAGCCGACCUUGAAAUACCACCCUUUAAUGUUUGAUGUUCUAACGUGGACCCGUAAUCCGGGUUGCGGACAGUGUCUGGUGGGUAGUUUGACUGGGGCGGUCUCCUCCUAAAGAGUAACGGAGGAGCACGAAGGUUGGCUAAUCCUGGUCGGACAUCAGGAGGUUAGUGCAAUGGCAUAAGCCAGCUUGACUGCGAGCGUGACGGCGCGAGCAGGUGCGAAAGCAGGUCAUAGUGAUCCGGUGGUUCUGAAUGGAAGGGCCAUCGCUCAACGGAUAAAAGGUACUCCGGGGAUAACAGGCUGAUACCGCCCAAGAGUUCAUAUCGACGGCGGUGUUUGGCACCUCGAUGUCGGCUCAUCACAUCCUGGGGCUGAAGUAGGUCCCAAGGGUAUGGCUGUUCGCCAUUUAAAGUGGUACGCGAGCUGGGUUUAGAACGUCGUGAGACAGUUCGGUCCCUAUCUGCCGUGGGCGCUGGAGAACUGAGGGGGGCUGCUCCUAGUACGAGAGGACCGGAGUGGACGCAUCACUGGUGUUCGGGUUGUCAUGCCAAUGGCACUGCCCGGUAGCUAAAUGCGGAAGAGAUAAGUGCUGAAAGCAUCUAAGCACGAAACUUGCCCCGA